ensembl:lncRNA
GCUACAUUUACAUCACAAGUGCCAUCGUGUAUGCCCCCUGGUCCAGUCAUAGUAUACAGCUUUGGGCGUAAGUUCAUUUAGACAGGAGUCGCUUGUCUGUGACGGUAGAUUUGUGUGUUCAUAUCAAACUCCACUCUGGUCUAGAUUCAAUACAAGUAAAACUAGUCCUCCAUUGAAUGUGUGUUCAGGCAAGCAGCUCACAGACCCGUUCAUAUCACUACCAUAUACGAACCAAGACGCAAGGCAACACCAAACUAUAGCCCAGAACGACAAGCCAAUGAUCGGCCAAGACAUUGGUUGAACCUCCAACUUAAAACAAAUCGGCUGUUUUUAACUAGACACACAAUGAUGUAUAAACGUGGCAUCAUUAUCCAUCCCUCCUUUCUCCUGUCUGGCUGGAAGGAUUAUAGAGCAGUGGGUUGCUCGCUCCAUUAACUCAGUAGGGGGCAGAGCUAUUAGCCGACGUCAUUAUCUCCACCAGUACGAAACCCAAGACCCCACAUCCCUAAGUCUUGCAUUAGAGAACGCAUUACCCUGUAUGAACACACAUCAGCUUCUCAGCUCCUUCCCCAUCGUGAGAUCAAUGGUGGUGAUACCUGAAUACUAUAUAUAAAUGAUAUAAGCAGUCGACCACAAAGGCUUACUAAUGUGAUGUUUCCUAACUGUGAACACUGGCAGUAAACACUCAGGACUCAGCUUACAUGGCUAGCUGAUGACAGCCCCAUGCCUGGCUACGAGGGUUUCCAUGGUGCAGAUGCAAAGCUAUCCCUAUUAUGGGCAGGGGUAAUGCGAGUGAGAUCUAUAUCUGUGGGUAGAGUCUCUCUGCUCAACACAGCUGUGCUCUCUGCUGGACCAGGACAGCCCCACCCGGGGGACAAUGGAAGCCGACACACAGCAGUGGCACAGUCUGGCGAUGCACCAGAGAAGAGCAGAAGCAUUACAGGUCGUUAGGGAGGGUCAUGUGGGUAAGAAGUUGACCAGCUUACCUGGAGGAGAAGGGGUGAAGUCGUAGAGCGAUAACAGCCCUUCAGUGACAUGCUGAGGCGCGGGGCCAGUGUUAACCUGGCGUUAAUGCAUUAAGGUACUCCUGAAUCAUUAACCUGAGCCUAAUAUUAUGGACACGUGGACGGACACGUGAAGCAACUAUAACUGUGGUAAAUGGUUGUGUUAAAAUUACACAAACAACAGAACUUUCAUAAUACUACAUCUUCAUUCCUAUAACGUUACUUCGUGUUGAUCUGAUAGAGCUGUGCGUCGGAUCUCAUUGGGAGAUCAUGUGGUGACCAAGACCCCGUGGCGGCAUGCCUCCAUCAAAGAUUAACACAAUGAAGAGGAACACUUGAUGGAAUGAUUUAAGUUUAAAAACGUCUACACAUUCAUAGACUGUCGUCUUCCAGAUUACAAUAAUGUCACCAUUGCUGCAUUGUUUAAUAACUUGUUGCCAGUUAAAAUCUGCAUAGGGAUCAAUCCCUACCAUCACUAGAAGAGACAAAGGAUGCUCUCGGGUGAGUGUUUUGUUAUAAACGGUGGACUCGGACGGAUGGAUUAAAUGGUCCUCGAUGCAGGACGCGUUGGGAAAAUACGCAACAUGAAGUUGGGGAUGCUCGCCUACCUCGGCUAACCCGCUAACACAAGCUAAGGGGCUAGCAGUACCAUUAGCCAGCAAGUUAGCAGGCUGCUGGGUUAGGAUGUAAAAGGUAAAUGUUCAGGAGUUCUGGUUCGGAAAACAUAACAUUUUACUUGACUUUUACCUUCGGCGCCAUUGUCCUCCUGUAGUGUUUUGGAGACGACCGUGGAGAUAAGGUAUCCCAGGAGGGAGAGCACAACCACACUGGUCCCCUCCACAGCCCGCAUCACUGCAGAUGUGUUUCAAUAGAAAGGAUUAUGAAAAGUAACAGCAGCCAAAUAGGCUCUUCUCAAACUCGGCGUCUAUAUCAGCAGAUUACUCCAUGUUUCAGAGCCAGCGGUGCUUCGGGUUUGGCUGUGAUGUAUGUCCCUCUGCCCGCUUCGCCACCGCCAGUCCUCUCGCUGCUCCGCUGGUUUUAGGUUCAGGGAAGACACAGCCCCGUUCCCAUACCUAUGGCCAGGCAGCGCAGCACCAACAGGCGGCUACUCGGCUCCUGCCCUAGUCCGACCCACGUCCUGCAUGGAGCUUUGCUGCCCCCUGCAGGACAUAGUGUAUAUUGGUGUAAGAAGCUCUG